CAAAUGGCCUCGAGGGAGAUCAAUGUGGAAUCCUUUGCAGGACCAAAGUCAGAUUGUACUUUGAGAGCCCAGAACCUUGCUGAGUGUGGGAGCUCAUGUGUCUCCUGUUGCACACGUCUGGGAGGGGCUAGGAGUUCCUGGGUCAGCUGCAGACCUCGAUAACGCUGGUGGUUUGCAGUGGUGGCCCUGACCCUGUGUCCUCCUCAUCCCACCCAGAGUGAAGAUGAGUCCACUGUGUCUAUAACUGAGGCCUGCAGGAUGCGUGCCCUCCAGGCAGGCACGAUGCAGAGGCUCUCAGAGUCUGUGCUGCCAGCCUUCCCCAGCAGAGUCCUCUGCAGUGUCAUCACCUCCCUCUGCUGCAGCUACUCAGGCUCCAGCACAGCCCACCAGGUGCUGGACCAGCUGUUUCCCAGGUCCCAUCUACCCUCCAUCCCGGCCGAUGCCCUCAUCCCCUUUGGGACACAUGGAGCAGCUUGGCCCAUUGUGUGCAGGAUGCUGGAGGACAGCACCACCUCCCAAAUGCUAUCUAUUUCCUGCUGGGAACCUGGCUGGGCCAAGGGCAGGAUUGCAGGGAGCCCCUACAGUUUCCAUGCUGGACCCUGCAGCUGGCCACUCUGCACGUCAGCUUUGGUGGCUCACAUGUGGAGGGCCAUGCCUACCUUCUGCCA
rnacentral:lncRNA from 1 species